UACAGAGGGGGCAAGCGUUGUUCGGAAUUACUGGGCGUAAAGGGCGCGUAGGCGGCCUGCUAAGUCGAACGUGAAAUCCCCGGGCUCAACCCGGGAACUGCGUCCGAUACUGGUGGGCUUGAAUCCGGGAGAGGGAUGUGGAAUUCCAGGUGUAGCGGUGAAAUGCGUAGAUAUCGGGAGGAAUACCGAUGGCGAAGGCAGGUCUCUGGGCUGACACUGACGCUCAUGCACGAAAGCGUGGGGAGCAAACAGG
rnacentral:rRNA from 1 species